rnacentral:rRNA from 1 species
GAAUCAAAGAAGGUAAUAAUCCUGUAGUCGAAAAUGUUGUCUCUCUUGAGUGGAUCCUGAGUACGACGGAGCACGUGAAAUUCCGUCGGAAUCUGGGAGGACCAUCUCCUAAGGCUAAAUACUCUCUAGUGACCGAUAGUGAACCAGUACCGUGAGGGAAAGGUGAAAAGCACCCCGGAAGGGGAGUGAAAUAGAACCUGAAACCGUGUGCUUACAAGUAGUCAGAGCCCGUUAAUGGGUGAUGGCGUGCCUUUUGUAGAAUGAACCGGCGAGUUACGAUUUGAUGCAAGGUUAAGCAGUAAAUGUGGAGCCGUAGCGAAAGCGAGUCUGAAUAGGGCGUUUAGUAUUUGGUCGUAGACCCGAAACCAGGUGAUCUACCCUUGGUCAGGUUGAAGUUCAGGUAACACUGAAUGGAGGACCGAACCGACUUACGUUGAAAAGUGAGCGGAUGAACUGAGGGUAGCGGAGAAAUUCCAAUCGAACCUGGAGAU